CCCUGUGGCUGUCGCCGCCAGCUCCUAGCUCCGCCAUGGUGCUCCGAUGACGCGCUCGGAGAACCGCUCCGCCCUCUUCCUCGGCCUCGCUCCCGCCGGCCCCCCGCCUCCAGGGCCCGCGGCCCAGACAGACGAACAUGUUGCUUCCGGCUUUUUGAUGUGUGGGCCACUGUGCUACAAAGGAACGCUGUCUGCUUGGAAGUGUUUUCUGUCUGGGGCAGUUCAUCCACUUACAUGACCGUUACUUCUGUUCGAAUCUGUGUGUCCACGUGCACGCAUGAACGUGCUUACACAAAUGAGCAUCUCCGGUGUCAGGGAGUCUGAUUCAGCAUCCAAAGGGUGCAUUUGACAGUGCGCCUCUCCUGAGCAGAGCACCAUCCAGAUCCUGCUGCAAAGAGAACUUUCAGGCGUGCUGAAAAAAACCAGGAAGCCACAGACAACUGAAUAGGAUUAACCAACUGCGAAAUGUAAGAAUUUCAGCCCACUUAUGGAAGUGAAGUCUCCUGCCAGGCUCGGUGCCGAGAGCUGGGACCCUGACCAUGAGCAAGGCAGUCCUGCCGGACGGACCUUCAAAAACCCCAAACAAGCAAAUGCUUUCUGCACUGGAAGAGCUUGUCCCUUGGGAUGAUUAUGAGAUUUAGGCAAUCCCUGCGUCCAGCGUGUUUCUGACCUGAAACAGGCAUCUCACACUAGCGGCCACAGUUCGGAGAAGGCUUCGCUCCGCAGCAGCUAACGGCGAUUUCCUUUCCUUCCUCCACGGCCAGCAGCAGCUCUCCCCUGUUUUUUCCACCAGCCCUUGUCACCAUCUGGGAGCUGUCACCCAGGGAGAAGAGCGGGGUGGUGCUUAGGAGCACAGAUCCUCAAGUCAGACUAUCUGGGUCUAAAUCCUGACUCUACUGCUUAGGGCUGUGUGGCCCUGGCAAGUUACUCAACUCCUCUGUGCCUCUGUGUCCUCGUGUGCAAAAUGAGGACACUAGAACUAUUACUACAGUGCUAUUGCCAUGAGGCUUGAGUGAGUCAAUACACAUGAAAUACUAAGAACAAUACCUGGCCCAUACAGAGUGUCUGCUAUCAUUAGUAUAUGUUGACUAUGUUUGCUAUUACUACUAUGUCAUUGUAUAUACCACUACUACUCCUAAAUAUUUACUAAUAUUCAUUGUUUUUCUUCCUCUGCUAGAAUGCCAGCUUCAGUGCAAUAUUUCUUUUCCCCAGUUUUGUUCACUGUAAUGUCCACAGCACAUAGACGAGUGCCUGGCAUUCAGCAGAUGCUUAAGAGAGAGAGCGAGAGAGGGAACACAAGCAGGGGGAGCGGGAGAGGGAGAAGCAGACUCCCGGCCAAGCAAGGAGCCUGAUGUGGGGCUCGAUCCCAGGACCCUGGAACCAUGACCUGAGCCGAAGGUAGAGGCUCAACGACUGAGCCACCCAGGUGCCCUAGCUCACCCUUUUCGCAGCUGUUUUCCCAAGACAGAAGGUAAGAAAGAAGGCCUAGGCAGGGAGGGUGGCUGGAGGCCACAGGAGCCCGAGCAGACAAGACCCUGAUGCCCUUGCCACUGAAAGGAAGUAACAGGUGUCAUCCCGGGGGCCAAGCAUGUCUGUGGAGGCUGAUAUCCUCAAGAGACGUGAGCGUCUGCUCACAGGAGGCAGCACUGGAGGCCUGGAGCUGGGGGAAACCCCAUUUGUACUGGGGCAGAACUGGGGAGGGGAUUCUUCCUCGGAUCUGUAAGCAGGAUCCUGGGGAACAUAUUUUCCUAGGUAUUAUGGACCGAACUGUGUCCCCGCCCCCUAGCCCCAAUUAGAAGACCUAACCUCCAAUGUGAUUGUAGGUGGAGAAAGGGUCUUAGGAGGUAAUUAAGGAUAAGUGUGAUCACAACAGUGGGGCCCUAAUCCAACAGGGCUACUGUUCUUAUAAGAAGAGGAAGCGACACCCUCCAGGGUGCACAAGGGUAAAAGGCUGGGUGAGGACAGGGCAAGAUGGUGCCAUCUGCAAGCCAAGGAGAGAGGCCUCAGGAGAAACCAAACCUGCCGACACCUUGCUCUUAGACCUUCUGCCUCCAGAACUGUGAGAAAUAAAUUUCUGUUGUUUAAGCUACUCAGCCGGUGGGACUCUGUUAUGGCAGGCCCAGCUAACGAAUAUACCGGGGAGUGAGAGUUUGACCAGCGUUGUCUUUUCACAGCACAUACAGCCUCCCGACACACUAUAUAAUUUACUUAUUAUCGCCCAGCACCCUCCGUCCGUCUGGAUGUAGCCCCACGAGCACGGGGGUCCUUGUUGUGUUUGCAAUAUUUCCUAAAUGCUCAGAGGAGACUGGCAGGGAGCCUUGUGCUACCAUCGGAAUUAGGAAGUCACGUGGCCCAAUGGGUCUGAUUCAUCAUCAAGAACUCUACAGCUUCCUCAAGCCUCCACGUCGCUUGUGACAGUGCCAAGGGGUUAAGACAGAGGAUCCUAUGAAGGGUGGCCCGUCUCUCACUGUCCUUCCUCAGCAUAAAGAAUCCAGAAUCUUUUUCUUCAGGGGAAGGCGGAGCGCUGUGGUCUUCAAAAUUUUCAUCUGGAAUGCUGGAAGAAUUUAGAC